AGGCUCAAAGAGAGAGGCAGGGUCUGAUCCGCAGCCACCGUUGGCAGCUGUUGAUCAGCUGUUGCCUCUCUCAUUCUUUCUG
rfam:Myotis brandtii contig151114, whole genome shotgun sequence.